GGAGGAACGAACGCGUCAUUGACCCUCCUCUAGCGCUGCUUCUCCUCCUCCAGGCUCCGGCGUUCCUGCUCACCUCCCUCCUCCGGUCUUCACAUGAAUCAUCUAAAAACGAUCUAAGCAGCCUCUCCAGAUCCCCUUCCUAUCCAACGUUUGAAUCUACCUUGCCCAAACACGCUGCAAUCAACCUUUCAUGAGGAGGACUUUACAAUCUCAGUUUGCACGCCCGGACCAAACAACGAUGGAUGAUGUGGUGGAGAACAUGGUGUGAAGGUAGUUUAUUUCAGCUAGGGGGGCCUCCAUUGUUGGUGAAGCUGCAAAAAAAUUGACUAUUCCAGGUAUGCAAGGAACAAGGAUGGAAUAGGUUUUUUAUUUUCAAGAUUUUUAUGUUGUGCAUCUGGCAAUCUGAAACUUGGUCUCUAAUCAGCAAGUACAUACAGCCUAGGGUUUUGUUUUGUUGUCCUUUAGUGAAGUGCGUCAUUUGGUUUCUGGCCUGUCAAGAUAGAUAUUUGUAGGGUUGUUAAGUUAGAUUGGUUGUUUAUGUGCCGUCCAGUUAAGGGAUUCAGUUCGCCAAAUAUUGGGACGUACUUGCGCACAGACUCGAUCACCUCUUCUAAUUUUGUUGGGAAGCGAGAAAGUCGUUUUAGCAUUACAUGAUCUGUCCAAUCUACUUCUCUUUGUUUCUUACAAGCAAAACUCCAUGCUUUUUCAGGGAUCUAUUCUUGCAAUUAUGCUCACCCAACGAUCCAAUAGGAUUUGUGUAUCUUAGAAGCCCAACCUAUACUCUGUUGUGAUGCAAUUUUUUGAUAGGACUGUUUGUAGACAUGGAGCGUAUAUAUGCACCCUAGCAGUAUUUGCUGGAAGCAACACCAGAAAAAUUAUGGUCAACUAAACCUCUUGGUAAAGACUAGCAGCAAAGCUGUUCACCUCCUCGACACUAUACAAAUUCAUUGUCAGGCGCUCCCCCGCCCAUUCAGUACGAAAAAUUAGUUAUGUACAUUUACAAUUCUCUGUUUCAGAUAAUUUUUACUUAUAUAUUUUAUCUAUAAUCCCCUUCCCUGAUUGAGGCAUCUGGAGUCCAGUGGGUUCUGUCAAAGAAAAUGGCGAUUCAUUUGUGCAGGUCUGACAAGGCAAGGAGUCCAGUGGGUUCUGUCAAAGAAAAUGUCGAUUCAUUCAGCGACAAACAUAAUAUCUAUAAUGUUUGAGGUGACCCUCCUAGGGACAGAAAGUUAUCGUCUCAAGCCCACCACUCGGUGGAACUUUUAUGGGCAGCCUUAAGCUUCGUAAAGAGCACAUCUCUUUACUCACCAAUUAUAUACAGAAAUUAUGGACAAUCACAAGAUUUUCACCGUGUGCAUGACACAUACGUUUUCCCGUGAAUCCAUCUCUUCUCCCCUAUACAUUUAUUCACAUAUUACUAUAUUAGAUCAUAAAUCAAUUUGAUUAUCACAAUAUAUAUUGGUCUGCAAAUCUAGAUUCUGCAGAACUUCUAUAUGUGGUGAGAAAUAGACAUAUCUCUUUUACAUAUUUUUUCUAAACCCUGUUGGGAUACAUAACAGGUUUUCCUGUGGAUGAGCAAAUUGCAGGAGAUACUGAACAUAAUUCCUGACUUGCGAACGACAAUUUUUAUGCCUUAUCUCCACCUCAUAGACGAUAGAUGUACCUUCUAUCUACAGAGAUUGUGAACUGAAAACUACUGUGCAGUGCUAAUCCUAGGUAAAGAUGUAAAUUUAGUGUGCCAGCAAUGGUUGAUACAGUUAUUCUUCAUUCACAAGUACGUGCCAUUUAAUCUUAAUUAAAUAUCAACUAAUAUCUCUUUCUACUGUUUCUUUUGAUUCUUUUAAUGUGCGUGUGUGGAUUUUAGAUGGGAAUUUAUCGGCGAGGGCCAGUCAACGGACAAAACAACGACACUACUAUAUAACUACCAAGAAUGCAUCUGUGUUGACUCUGAUCAUGACCCUAAUGUUGGGAAGCUAAUGGAGACUUCUACACAUGUUGUUCCGUUCCUGAGAGCAACAAAGAAGAUAUGAUAGUCAUGGCUUCUACUGUAUCACCCGGACUUAGUAUUCACACAUGUAUUUCCCAGUGUGUUGUACAAUUAACGUAUCAUGUUUGUUAGUAGUUCUAACAUGUUAGACUUAGAUGAACUUCAUUUGUACCUAAUAUUCUCUUUGGCACUUAAUUCACAUCACUCUUUAAGUUC